rnacentral:rRNA from 1 species
UACGUAGGUGGCAAGCGUUGUCCGGAUUUACUGGGUGUAAAGGGCGCGUAGGCGGGACUGCAAGUCAGAUGUGAAAUCUGGGGGCUCAACCCCCAAACUGCAUUUGAAACUGUGGUUCUUGAGUAUCGGAGAGGCAGGCAGAAUUCCAAGUGUAGCGGUAAAAUGCGUAGAUAUUUGGAGGAAUACCAGUGGCGAAGGCGGCCUGCUGGACGACAACUGACGCUGAUGCGCGAAAGCGUGGGGAGCAAACAGG